UUCUGGAGAGGCUGGAGGACUCUCCUCCCAUCCUGAGAGAUGUCCAGGAUGCCAGCCUCAGAGCCUGAUGAUGGGCUGUCCUUGGCCCUCCACCUCUGAGCUGUGUGUUUUUGUUUAUUGUGGAAAAGAACACACGCGGAGAAAGCUGUGUAGAACGUCAGCGUCUGGAGUCUAGGAUUAUCCAGCAGGAACCACCCAGGUGGCUCUGGAACAUCAGGCUGGUGCUCAUGGCUCCUGACAAGCACUUGUGUGGCCGUUAUCCACGGGAAACCGCUUUGCUGGGCAGCAGGACCUGGCGCACGCACAGGAGGUGUGAGAUCCAGACGCGUUCAGAUGAGCUUUGCCGCAGCGAGCGCAGAAGAGGCAGGCGUUGGAUCGCUGGGCCCCAGCUGGUAAGAAGUGGAGAUGGAAACGAUGCCCUCCAUGCUUGUCUCCAUGUCCCCCCGCACCCCGGACCUGUCCCCCUCCCUGGGGACCAGACCCAAAGAGCUGAUCACCAACCCAGACACAUGCUUGCACGCCUGCGCUCACAGAAGCACGGUUCCCGUCACCGAAGCAAACGUCCGUGAUUAGCGAAGAACUCAGCCAGAUGCCUGUGCUGUUGCAGCCACAGGCAGGGGUGACGGGGGCGCACGGCGCGGGAGCCUCAGAAAACGCAGGGCUCGGUGAGAGCCGUCAGACACAGAAGGCGUGAGUGGCACGACCCUGUGCCCACGAAGUGCCGGCUCAGGCCAGUCCGCGGGCGAAAGGCAGUCGGCGGCUGUUUCGGGCUGGGGGAGGGGUGGGGAGGGACUGCUCAGUGGGACGCGGGUUCCUUUGGGGUGAGCGGCCUUAGGGCUGGGCGGAGUUGCUGGUUGCAGGACCCUGUAGAUGCCGUGGAAUGCUGCGUUUAAAAAUGGAUAAUUUGAU